rnacentral:rRNA from 1 species
UACGUAGGGUGCAAGCGUUGUCCGGAAUUAUUGGGCGUAAAGAGCUCGUAGGCGGUCUGUCGCGUCUGGUGUGAAAAUCCAGGGCUUAACCCUGGACCUGCAUCGGGUACGGGCAGACUAGAGUGCGGGUAGGGGAGAUCGGAAUUCCUGGUGUAGCGGUGAAAUGCGCAGAUAUCAGGAGGAACACCGAUGGCGAAGGCAGGUCUCUGGGCCACUACUGACGCUGAGAAGCGAAAGCAUGGGGAGCGAACAGG